rnacentral:misc_RNA from 1 species
AUGUCCUGGAAAAGUCCUGAAAAUUUGUUUCUGAAAAAGAUUACGAACCUUGAUUGGAAACCAAUGAUUUAUAUGGCUCCUUUAUUUUUCAACAGCACUAUAUAGAGGGUGAGAAUAAUAAAGUGAGGUCUGUUUCUCUGUCAUCUUAUGAGCCAUCUGCAGAGAAGGAUGUUACCCUGCUAAAGAAAAAGAGAGAUAUUUUAGCUGUAUGUCUGGCUCAUUUGGUUGUAGUCUGGACAGUUGCACCUGGAUUACAAUGGACUGUGCUUCACAAAUGGAGUCUUCCCACUGAUGGAGGAGAAGAGUUUGUAAGUGUACAGAUUUUACCAUUGAAAUCUCAUGUUGCUCUUCUGGUUGGAGGGAAUUUUAAUGGCGGAAAUGGGAGGAUUCUUGGGUAUUCUGAGCUGGAAGGUGACUAUUCUUUUGAUUUCCAACAGGAUGAUCAGAAAAACACACGUGUCUUUUCAACCAUGUGUUUAUUAUGUGACACAAUGGGAAUGAGUGGCAAUGAAGGUGUAGUGUGUGCUAUUGCAAGUAGAACAUUUCAUGAAGUAACAUUGACCAAGUGGACGUUGGAUGCCAUUUACCUGUCGGUGAAACAGCAACAUUGUUUUGCACCAAUAAUCACUGAGAGUGACUUGACAUCCCUUCACGCUGUUCAAGGUAGCCACUGCCUUCUCCUGGGGACAACAGAUGAUAGACUUUUUCUGUGGUAAGUUCUUGCUCAGGAUAUGAACAUCAUGUCCAGCUGACAGAGCACAAUAAGUCUACAUCUACAUGUACAUUGAAUGAAGUCGGCCAAAUCGCAAGAUA